GGGUUGUGAGGUUAAGCGACUAAGCGUACACGGUGGAUGCCCUGGCAGUCAGAGGCGAUGAAGGACGUGCUAAUCUGCGAUAAGCGUCGGUGAGGUGAUAUGAACCGUUAUAACCGGCGAUUUCCGAAUGGGGAAACCCAGUGUGUUUCGACACACUAUCAUUAACUGAAUCCAUAGGUUAAUGAGGCGAACCGGGGGAACUGAAACAUCUAAGUACCCCGAGGAAAAGAAAUCAACCGAGAUUCCCCCAGUAGCGGCGAGCGAACGGGGAGGAGCCCAGAGCCUGAAUCAGUGUGUGUGUUAGUGGAAGCGUCUGGAAAGGCGCGCGAUACAGGGUGACAGCCCCGUACACAAAAAUGCACACAUUGUGAGCUCGAUGAGUAGGGCGGGACACGUGGUAUCCUGUCUGAAUAUGGGGGGACCAUCCUCCAAGGCUAAAUACUCCUGACUGACCGAUAGUGAACCAGUACCGUGAGGGAAAGGCGAAAAGAACCCCGGCGAGGGGAGUGAAAAAGAACCUGAAACCGUGUACGUACAAGCAGUGGGAGCCUCUUAAUGAGGUGACUGCGUACCUUUUGUAUAAUGGGUCAGCGACUUAUAUUCUGUAGCAAGGUUAACCGAAUAGGGGAGCCGAAGGGAAACCGAGUCUUAACUGGGCGUUAAGUUGCAGGGUAUAGACCCGAAACCCGGUGAUCUAGCCAUGGGCAGGUUGAAGGUUGGGUAACACUAACUGGAGGACCGAACCGACUAAUGUUGAAAAAUUAGCGGAUGACUUGUGGCUGGGGGUGAAAGGCCAAUCAAACCGGGAGAUAGCUGGUUCUCCCCGAAAGCUAUUUAGGUAGCGCCUCGUGAAUUCAUCUCCGGGGGUAGAGC
rnacentral:rRNA from 1 species